GUCUAUGGCCAUGCCACCCUGAACAAGCCCGAUCCCGUCUGAUCUCGGAAGCUAAGCAGGGUCGGGCCUGGUUCGUACUUGGAUGGGAGACCACCUAGGAAGACCAGGUGCUGUAGGCG
rnacentral:rRNA from 1 species